UCAAAUCGACUUCUGGGUUCCAGAAAUUGUUUUUAUUAAAAAAACCAAAGCAAACCCCAACCCUGCAUUCCCCGGGGUGAAGUGAUAAAUGCAUCCCGUGGAGGGAAGGCCACGAGCCGUGUGCCCCACGGACAGACGGGGAGGUUACAGGGGCUCUAGGCCCGGGGCUGUGACUUUCAGAGAACCCGCCGGACACACAUCCGUUAUGCAGUAAUUUUAAAGCGUGAACAAAUAUACUCCAGGACACGGCCUCAGUCACCAUGGACCUCACUCCCCCACCGGCCGGGCCCCUUCUCUGAGCCGGGGGUCCAGCGAGGCCAGAGAGCUGGGAGGGGGCUCCGGAGGGGCUGAGGCUGGUGGGACCCCCUGGAACUGUGGCAGAACGUGCGCAGGGCCGUGGCUUGGAUGGUGGUCGGACUGGUGUCGGUUGAUGGGCACAUUCGACCGUGGGGGAGCCACCUGGUUUUAGAAGCAUGUUAGGUGGGUGGCAUUGGUGGAAUGUUUGAAGCGAAAGUUGGCAUAUGCCCGUCACGUGUUCGGAAGCUAGAAGACGUGUCAGUCGUGGGCUAAAGAGAGUACACCCAGCAUCACACGGGACUUGCCCCGAGGGGUCGAGGAAACACCAGUUCUCACGAUUGGCGCGAGGCGGGCACGAGGUCCCUCCGGGGCGACCAGUGGCCUUCGGGGCCCGUACCGGACAAGAGGGCAGUUGGAAGGGGAUGAUCCGAACGUCAGACGGCGGCAUGGACCGUCCGCCCUACUCCCCACAGUGUCUCGUUCUCGGUCCGGAGCCAGACACGGGAUGGGCGGGACCCAAGAGGAAGCCCCAUCAACAGGCCCUCGAUCUCGGUGAGCGGCGCUGGCUUGUCGGGAACGGUGAAGAACCUGCCACGUUGUUUUUUGGCCACGGGCACCUCUGUUCGCUGCUUCUGAGAACCUUCAGGCAGGGAGGGGCGGUCCUGUUAGAGGUCCGUGUUGCUCUCCGCUGCAAAUUGUGUCCUUGUUGAGGCACACAUCGGAGCCGCCGGGGAGCUCCAGAAGCAUCUGCGGACACGGGGCACCCAGGGGACCCCAGGCUGCUGUCCCCACAUUAACCUGGACGCCCCGAGGCAGAGGAUGUUAAGAAAGAAGAUGGGGGGUUGAGUCCCGGAGGCCCCAACUUUCAACUCCAAGACCUUGGACAGAUAGAUCAAACUCACAAGCCGUGUGUGUCCCCAUUUGAAAACCGCAAAUAAUACUUAGCCUGCUUCCUCAUUGAAUUUGGUAACAGUGUCUGGAAAAGGAAGUAAUGGACCCCAGCGCUCUGCACGUGCCAAGCCAUGGGUUAUUUUUGUUGUCUGCACGUGGCCUUCCCGCCUCUUCCCUGCCCUCGCCCACCUGUCCGCCAGGCGUCUCACCGGCCUGGAGGUGGGAGUUUGUCUCAGGUCACCUGGGGUCCCCUCGUGCCCCGAUCAGAGCUGUCGGUGAAGCAGACGGCACGGUGUCUAUGCUCGACAGACGCUCCUCUGGUGAUCUCUGCACAGUCACUGUGCUGGCUCUUGCCCUGAAAGAAUGUGGAACAGCCGCGGGGUGGCCCCUGAGUCGGCGCAGCUGUGGCCCGAGACCCUGUGGGCAAGAGGUCCCCUGCCCGCAGCCGUGGCCGAGCCAGCUGCCACUCGCCCUGCCGGGUCCACAGAGCGGGCGCUUCCCCGGAGGCUUCCCUCGACUCCGCUACGGAGGACAGCUGGGUGCCCCUCCCCUAGCAAGACACGGGACGCACUCUGCACCUCACUGGGAAGCUGCGACCACACAGGACCCGGGUCAGGGAGGUCGCCCCGAAGUUUCCAGCCAGACAGCAUCCCGGCCCAGCCACGGUCUCUGAGAAGUAACCCAAACUUCAAUAAAACUUCGGUUUUAUUCGGUUGAACUUC